UACGAAGGGUGCAAGCGUUAUUCGGAUUAACUGGGCGUAAAGAGCGUGAAGACGGUUUUUUAAGUCAUCUGUUAAAUAGCUCGGCUUAACUGGGCACCUGCAGGUGAAACUGAAGAACUAGAGUGCAGGAGAGAAAGGUAGAAUUCUCGGAGUAGCGGUAAAAUGCGUAGAUCUCGAGAGGAAUACCGGUUGCGAAGGCGGCCUUUUGGCCUGUUACUGACGUUCAAGCGCGAAAGCGUGGGGAG
rnacentral:rRNA from 1 species